AAUGAAUAAAGGAGAGAGAGAGAGAGAGAGAGAGAGAGAGAGAGAGAGAGAGAGAGAGAGAGAGAACACAGACAAUCACAUUCUCAGACAAACUAAAAAAAAUGAAUAAAGGAGAGAGAGAGAGAGAGAGAGAGAGAGAGAGAGAGAGAGAGAGAGAAACAGGAUAGACAGUCAACCAUCGUUUUAGAGUUCAAUUGUUUCAUGACAGAGUGACCGAGUGACUGAUUACUUGACUGCCUGACUGACUGACUGACUGACUGACUGACUGACUGACUGACUGAUGUAUCUAAGGCUUGUGGUGUAAGGAUUCUGCUCAAGGUUUCCUCUUUUCGACUGACUGACUCAUUGACUGACUGCUUUCGUGACUAUGACUGAUUGACAGACUUACGUUGAAGGUAGUGUAUUAAAAUUAUCUUCCUUUGGCUAGGUGACUGACUACCUGCCUGACUGACGAACUGACUGAUUUCUCCAAUGCUUAGAGUGUGAAAACUAUGAUCAACCUUUCUUCCCUUUGACUGACUGGCUGACUUAAGCUGAAGAGAUUGUAUUAAAAACAUCCCAUUCUCUAGAUGACCGACUUACCGAUUGAGUGACUGACUUGUACGUUUAGAAUGCAUGUAUAGAAUUUCCACUCUGAUUGACUUCCUCCUUGACUCAAUCGACUGCCUUAUGCUGAAGAUAUUGUUUUAAAUUAUCUCCCUUUGGCUAAAAACUAUCUGACUCACUGAUCGACCUUUGCUUUUAGAAUGUGUAAUAUUUCCUCUCAGAUUGACUGACAGACUGAAUCCUUGACUGAAUGGCUGACUGACUGACCUACUUUGAGGAUUGUGUAUAUUCCACCCCUCUAACAAGAUCCCUGACUGAAUGACUGAUUGACUGGUUUGUACUUUUAGAAUGUUUAACCCGGUAGCUACAGGGAUCAUGUUUCUUAAUUAAAGGCCCCUCUAAGCGAAUUAAUGAAGAAAAAAAAAAAAAAACCAUCUCAUAAUAUAUAUCAACGCAUUUGUGAUCAGUUUAUGCAUCAUCUAUUUUGGGGGGUCUUUAUCAUGACAAAAAUUUGACCCGUCGCUGCUUCACGGUAAAGCCACAAAUUUGGCCCGUCUCUGCUACCGGGUUAAGAUUUCUUCUCUCUCGCUGGCAGUCUUAUUCAACCUCAGCGGACGGCCUACUGUAGGGUGGAUGAAAAUGUGUGAGGGGUGGGUGACUGUCUUGCUGUAUGUGGCCGGAUGGAUGCACGAAAUCUGAUGAGUGAGUGAGUGAGAUUUUUUUUACCGCUACCUGGGAAAAUAAAGCAUAACGUUGUAGAAGCGAGAUCCGUGUUCUGUUUGCGUUGCUACAGUGAAAGUGAGGCCCAAAAGAGACGAAAGAUAAUAUGAGUGAACAAAAGGAAUCAGAGCUAUGGGGCCAGUAAAGUAAACGGUGAGGAAGAGUGAAGAAAGGAUAUCGUUGUAGAAGCGAGAUCCGUGUUCUGUUUGCGUUGCUACAGUGGAAGUGAGGCCCUAAAGAGACGAAAAAUAAUAUGAGUGAAUAAAAAGAAUCAGAGCUAUGGGGCCAGUAAAGUAAACGGUGAGGAAGAGUGAAGAAAGGAUAUCGUUGUAGAAGCGAGAAACGUGUUCUGUUUGGGUUGCUACAGUGAAAGUGAGGCCCAAAAGAGACGAAAAAUAAUAUGAGUGAACAAAAAAAAGAACUAUGGGGCCAGUAAAGUAAACGGUGAGGAAGAGUGAAGUUACUUUUAUGCGUACCUGUAGGAUCUAUUUAUGUUUAGAUUUGAGAAAUGGAUAGGUAAAUAGAUAGAGGGAAAAAUGGUCAGCAAAAACAUCAAUAAGCUGCUGUGAUUGAUAUAAGGAAAGGUCAACAUAGAUAAAGACAGGUACAUCAAGGAAUAAGGAAGGUCAACAUAGAUAAAGACAGGUACAUCAAGGAAUAAGGAAGGUCAACAUAGAUAAAGACAGGUACAUCAAGGAAUAAGGAAGGUCAACAUAGAUAAAGACAGGUACAUCAAGGAAUAAGGAAGGUCAACAUAGGAAAGACAGGUACAUCGAGGAAUAAGGAAGGUCAAUAUAGGAAAGACAGGUACAUCGAGGAAUAAGGAAGGUCAACAUAGAUAAAGACAGGUACAUCAAGGAAUAAGGAAGGUCAACAUAGGAAAGACAGGUACAUCAAGGAAUAAGGAAGGUCAACAUAGGAAAGACAGGUACAUCGAGGAAUAAGGAAGGUCAACAUAGAUAAAGACAGGUACAUCGAGGAAUAAGGAAGGUCAAUAUAGGAAAGACAGGUACAUCGAGGAAUAAGGAAGGUCAACAUAGAUAAAGACAGGUACAUCAAGGAAUAAGGAAGGUCAAUAUACGAAAGACAGGUACAUCAAGGAAUAAGGAAGGUCAACACAGGAAAGACAGGUACAUCAAGGAAUAAGGAAGGUCAACACGGGAAAGACAGGUACAUCAAGGAAUAAGGAAGGUCAACAUAGAUAAAGACAGGUACAUCAAGGAAUAAGGAAGGUCAACAUAGAUAAAGACAGGUACAUCAAGGAAUAAGGAAGGUCAACAUAGAUAAAGACAGGUACAUCAAGGAAUAAGGAAGGUCAACAUAGAGAAAGACAGGUACAUCAAGGAAUAAGGAAGGUCAACAUAGAGAAAGACAGGUACAUCGAGAAAUAAGGAAGGUCAACAUAGGAAAGACAGGUACAUCGAGGAAUAAGGAAGGUCAACAUAGAUAAAGACAGGUACAUCGAGGAAUAAGGAAGGUCAACAUAGAUAAAGACAGGUACAUCAAGGAAUAAGGAAGGUCAACAUAGAUAAAGACAGGUACAUCAAGGAAUAAGGAAGGUCAACAUAGAUAAAGACAGGUACAUCAAGGAAUAAGGAAGGUCAACAUAGAUAAAAACAGGUACAUCGAGGAAUAAGGAAGGUCAACAUAGAUAAAGACAGUUACAUCGAGGAAUAAGGAAGGUCAACAUAGAUAAAGACAGGUACAUCGAGGAAUAAGGAAGGUCAACAUGGAUAAGAACAAAUACAUCAAGGUAACGCAGGACAGACGCAGGUAGAACAAAAGUAAUUCAGGCAAAGAUAAAUAUAAUGAAAAAAUUGAGAAGGAAAAUCAAAAUGUGGUAGAAAAAUUAAUAAGGUGACUAGAGUGGAAAGAAUUUUUAAUAUUUACUCUCGGGGUGGACGUCAAAAAGGGUGGAAGAACACUGAAGUAGGCCUCUGGAGGAAAGUAUACGUUCCCUGAUGAUAUAUAUUGAUUCUUCAGGAAAACGAUCUCCUUACACCUUCCAUACUGCACUUUUUUUUACGACUAUUAUUCUUGUUUUGUUUUUGGUAGGAUAUCUUGUUUUGUUCUUGUUUUAUUUCGCUCUUGGUGUGUUUUUUUUUUUUGUAUUCUCGCUUUGUUUUUGGUAGGAUUCCUUGUUUUGUUCCUGUUUUAUUUUGCUCUGGGUGUUUUUUUUUGUAUUAUUCUUGCUUUGUUUUUGGUAGGUUAUUUUUUUUUUGUUUUCUUUGUGUGUUUUCUUGUUUUCGUUUAUUCUUGUUUUGGUUUUGUUAGGUUAUCUUGCUUGUUUUCGUUUUCUUUGGGAUAGUUUUCUUGUUUAUCGUUUAAUUCCUGUUUUGUUUUGUGUGGGAUAUCUUGUUUUUGCUUUGUUUUCUUUGGGUUAAUAUUCUUGUUUUUCGUUUUAUUGUCUUGUUUUGUGGGGGCUAUCUUGUUUUUGCUUUGUUUUCUUUGAGUUAGUUUUCUUGUUUUUCGUCUUAUUAUUGUUUUCUUUUAGGUGGGUUAUCUUGUUUGAUUUUUGCUUUCUUUUCUUUGGGUUAAUUUUCUUGUUUUGGUUUGGGUAGAUUAUCUUUUUUGUUGUUGUUUUCUUUGGGUGGGCUUUCUUGUCUUGUCUUGCUAUUGUUUUGUUUUCUUUGAGACGGUUUUCAUCUAUUGUUUUAAGUGAGUGUUUGUUUUGUUUUGGGUGGGUCUACGUGGGAUGGAAAGAAGAGGAAGGUGGAAGAGGAGGAAAAGCAUGAGAAAAAUACUUUAAGGAAGAGGUGGAGGAGGAGGAGAGGAAGAAGUGAAGGUGUAGGAACCGUAAAUAAAGGAUGAAGAAAAACUAAGAAGAUUAAAGAAGGAAGAGAAGAGUAUGUUGGAGGAAGAAAGGAGGAAUAUGGUGGAGGAGGAUGAAGGAGUGAGUAGGUGAAGGAAGAGAAAGAAGUGGAUAGGAGAAAGAACGAAAUAAUUAACUUGAGAACUUUUUUGUAAAUGUUAGACCAGCUUUAUACUGUUAAGGAAUUAUGUGUUUAAAAUAAAAUUAAGGAGCUAAUAAAAAAAAGAAAGCUCGAAAACUAUCACUUAAUUUUACCUCCUAGAAAAGUGUACAUAUUAAAAAAUAAAUAAAAGGUUGAUAUCUGUA